AUGUUCGUGCUGCCAAGAUGGUCCGAUCUCCCGCCGGAGCUGCUCGCCAUCGUCUCCGGUCGCCUGCACGACGUGGCUGACUUCGUCCGCUUCCAUGCCGUCUGCACGUGGUGGCGGGACUCGCUGCCCCAGACGAUGGCGCUCCGCCCGGCCUUCUUUCCCUGGCUCAUUGCCCUGCCGUCCGGCUAUGGAUCUUUGGCCGUCAAGUUUCGCCCGCGACGUUCUCCAACCGCAGGAGGGGUCACGGCCCUGCCGUCCUUCCCGGAGGACGAUCAGAAGACCACGGGGAGGAUGGAGAUCUCCCGCGGCAUCAUCUCUGGCGACGACACGGUCUUCCUCUACAACUUCUCCUACUCCAACCUCGACGAGGAUGAUGACGAGCAAAUCAACGCAUGUUUCAACACGGCCGUCCUUGAGCUGGGACCUAGUGCCGAAACAGAUGACACGUACCUGAGGGAAGAGGUCGACGCCACCGGCUGGUACGUCGAGUCUAGCCAUAACCUUGAGUCCCAGGGCGAGCUGCUGCAGGUGACUGUCGUGGUCCAACAAGACAGGGGCUUCAUGUAUAAGGGCGCAGCAGCCCAGGCGAGCGCACUGGUGGUGCGGGUGCACGCGUGGGAGGAAGAGGUGGAUGCAAACGGUAAACGGAGGUUUCGGUGGGUGAGGAAGGAUGGUCGGAGCUUCGCGGACCGCGUCAUGUGCAAUCUUCUCGACGGCAAGGCCAAGUUCAUUAAGGGCCUGCCUCCGGAUCCGGAGUGGAGGGGCCACAAAAACGAGGCAUGCCUGUGGUUCAUGCCCCAGCCUUCCCUUGCUCCGAUCCAGAGCCUACCUACCCGCCGCCGCCUCUCCUCCCUCCGCCGCCGCCGCCAGCCUCUCAUCGCGGCCGCCGCGAUGUCCAAGUCGCCCGCCACCGAUCAGUCCUCCUCAUCGGGCACCGCGAUGACCGCGUCCUCCGCCCUCGCCCUCACCGUGUCCGCCCCCGUCAUCGCGCCACCAUCGGCGUCGGCUCCCGCUCCUGUCCUUCCGCCCAUCGCGGUCUCUCUCAACCGCAGUAACUUCAUGCUGUGGAGGGCUCUCGCCCUCCCCAACUUCGCCGGCGUACGCCUCCACGGGUUCCUCGAUGGCUCGGGCAAGGCGCCGGAGCCGACCGUGACGACAGGCACCGGUGACACGGCUCGUACCAUCACCAACCCCGAAUACGAGCAGUGGUGGACUCUUGAUCAAAAGGUCCUCGGGCAUCUCCUCGGCUCCAUGAGCGUGGAGAUAUCCGCGCAGCUGAUCGGCUGCAGGACGGCGGCUGCUGCAUGGGCUGUCGUGCACACCAUGUUCGCCGCCGAGAACAGCGCCGGCGUGCGCAACCUUCGGCGCCAGAUCCAGGCACUACACAAAGGAGAUAGACCCGCCGGCGAGUACAUGCAGAAGAUUAAAUCUCUCGCCGACUCGAUGGCCGCAGCCGGUUCUCCUCUUCGCGAUGACGAGAUCAUCGACUACAUGCUGACCGGGCUCGGCUCGGCGUUCAACCCCAUCGCUGCUUCGAUGAACUUCGCCGGCGUGCCAGUCACGUUUUCGGCGUUCUACUCCAACGUCCUCCACUACGAGGCCCUCCAGCAGCAGCAAUCGGAAGUUGAGGACUGGCAAUCCUUCGCAAACGCCGCCUCCCGGCCGGCCUACCACGAUCACGCCGGUCGUGUGCCCGAUUCCGGAUGCCCAAGUGGCGGCCGCUCCUCCGCCGCCUCUCUUCCGCCUGGAUCGGCGAGCUACGGCUCCACCCAGGGCGGUGCCCCUGGCCGUAACAACGGCAACACCGGCGGCAACGGCCGCAAUGGAGGAGGCAAUGGGGACUGUUGCGGCCGCUAUGACCGCGACCACCGCGCCGCCAACUCUGCCUCCACGCAUGAACCGCCGCACUGGAUCCUGGACACCGGUGCGACGGAUCACCUGACGAGUGAUCUUGACCGUCUUCACUUCCAUGAGCGCUACGGCGGGAAGGAUCAAGUGCAAGUGGCGAAUGGUGCAGGCAUACCAGGACGCCGCUCCUCCCUCCUCGGCGAUCGAUGUGCAUGGCGCAUGCACGUCGCCCGGCUCGUCGGCUGCCUCAUCGCCCAACCCAUCUUCCGCGACGCCCCCGCCCUCUGCGGGCCGCUCGGCUGGGGCAUCGGAGAAGAUGAUCUUAAUAAUCUGGUCAUCGCGCGCCACAACCCAGCUGCCGUCGUGCGAGCCGACCAAGCACUUGUUCUCCGGCUUGCUCGGGACGCGCAGGACCCAAGCGUCGUCGGGCCCACACAGGUUCACAUACGGCAACCGGCGCUUCCAGAGGUGGGCGGCAUGGCGCAGGGUAAGUGGAGGCGAGUUGUAUGGAAACAUCGCGGCAAGGCCAGAGACGACGCAUCAACCGGGGCAGAGGUGGAGGAGUCGGUAGUGGGCGAGAGCUUCGAGUUCGCCUUCGACAACGAGGCCUUCUCGGACAGGGUGCUGCGGAUAGAGGUCGUCGGCAGCGACGGCGCUCCCAGGGCCGACAGCCGCAAGCGCCGUCGCCGCGAGGAGGACAAAAGCAAUGAUGAAGAAGGUAUUGACUAUUCUAGUACUGUCACGGGCACACCUGUUUUACGAGUCAACACCAUACAUCUUUUCUCAAAUGGCAUGAAAGAGUCUGAUCAGAGGCAACCAACACUUACAAUUGGAGAUUCAGAGGAAAAGGCCUUCAUGGAGAUUUUAAUCUUUAUGUAUAGUGGAAAGUUGACACCAACAACUGAGCCCACUCUUAUACUUGAUAUGCUGAUGGUUGCUGACAAAUUUGAGGUCAUUUCUUGCAUGAAGCUUUGCAGUCAGCGGCUGCUAGACCUGCCUAUGACCCCAGAAUCGGCAGUGAGGUGCCUGAAUAUGCCAAGUUCCAUUUCAAUGGCAGCAGCCCUCAAAGAGGCAGCCAAGCAAUUCCUUGCAGAAAGGUACAAGGAGCUCCUGUCAACAAACUUCCAAGAUGAACUAAUGAGGGUCCCUCUUGCUGGGAUUCAGGCCAUCUUAUCGAGGAAUCGCCUUGGAGCUGCAUCUGAAGAAUCAGUUUAUGACUUUGUGCUCAGGUGGGCACGUUCACGGUACCCAAAUUCGGAAGUAAGGGACAAGAUUUUGAGUACACGUUUACUUCCAUUGGUGCCAUGGGUGCUCGGGAUGACCAAUGACAUUCAAAUUGAUCAUCCAUCUUGUAUAAUUAACCUCACAAUAAAGCGUGAGAAGUGUUCCAGGCUGGUCCCAUCAGGAUUAAUGUGUUCUCCGUCGUUCCAUUGCGCGGGGCGUGACUUCUUCCUCUCGGCAUGUUGUGUGACGACAGAUCAGUCCCAAUUUUUUAGCCUCGCCAUAAAGAUGUUAGAAGACAAGGGGGCAAUAAGGGGGACAGUAGAUUACGAGAUUGGGGCAAAGACAAGACCAUCACUGAAGUUUGUCACCAAGUAUAGGUGCACCACCUCCACCGAUAGUAUGGGACAAGAUGGUUGUUGCGUUCCUUGGUCGGAGUUAAUGGCUGACGACAACCCUUACUUCAUCGACGAUAAACUCCAUCUGCAAAUUCACGUGAAGAUAACACCACUGCCAUAG
rnacentral:rRNA from 1 species